UACGUAGGGUGCGAGCGUUUGUCCGGAAUUAUUGGGCGUAAAGAGCGUGUAGGCGGUCCGGUAAGUCCGUUGUGAAAGUCCAGGGCUCAACCCCUGGGAUGCCGGUCGAUACUGCCGGACUAGAGUUCGGAAGAGGCGAGUGGAAUUCCCGGUGUAGCGGUGAAAUGCGCAGAUAUCGGGAGGAACACCAAUGGCGAAGGCAGCUCGCUGGGACGUUACUGACGCUGAGACGCGAAAGCGUGGGGAGCAAACAGGG
rnacentral:rRNA from 1 species